UACGUAGGUGGCAAGCGUUGUCCGGAUUUACUGGGCGUAAAGAGCGCGCAGGCGGUCGUUCAAGUCGAGUGUGAAAGCCCCCGGCUCAACUGGGGAGGGUCACUCGAUACUGAUCGACUCGAAGGCAGAAGAGGGAAGCGGAAUUCCCGGUGUAGUGGUGAAAUGCGUAGAUAUCGGGAGGAACACCAGUGGCGAAGGCGGCUACCUGGCCCACUCUUGACGCUGAGGCGCGAAAGCUAGGGGAGCAAACGGG
rnacentral:rRNA from 1 species